GAUGAACGCUAGCGGCAGGCCUAAUACAUGCAAGUCGAACGGUAAGUGUUAUAGCAAUAUGACACCAAGAGUGACGCACGGGUGCGUAACACGUAUGCAACCUACCCUUUACAGGCGGAUAGCUCGGGGAAACUCGAAUUAACCCGCCAUAAUAUAAUUGAAUGGCAUCAUUUGAUUAUUAAAUCUGCGGAGGUAAAGGAUGGGCAUGCGUCUGAUUAGUUAGUUGGUAGUGUAACGGACUACCAAGACGAUGAUCAGUAGGGGAACUGAGAGGUUGAUCCCCCACACUGGCACUGAGAUACGGGCCAGACUCCUACGGGAGGCAGCAGUAGGGAAUAUUGGUCAAUGGGUGAGAGCCUGAACCAGCCAUGCCGCGUGCAGGAAGAAGGUCUUCUGGGUUGUAAACUGCUUUUGCCAGGGGAUAAAAAUACCUUGCGAGGUAAAUUGAAGGUACCUGGUGAAUAAGCCACGGCUAACUACGUGC
rnacentral:rRNA from 1 species